CGCACAUUGCGCCCUCUGGUAUUCCGGAGGGCAUGCCUGUUCGAGCGUCAUUAUCACCCCUCAAGCCCGGCUUGUUGUUGGACGCGGCGGCGCCUUUACUGCGCCCCGCCCGUCUCAAAGAUAAUGACGGCGUCUGCGAGGACCCCUGUACACUGAGCUUUCGGGCACGUACUAGGUGUGGACUCCAGACCCGGUCUUCGUCCCUUUUAGGGACAACUUUUUAACCAGGUUGACCUCGGAUCAGGUAGGAAUACCCGCUGAACUUAA
rnacentral:misc_RNA from 1 species